rnacentral:rRNA from 1 species
UACGGAGGGUGCAAGCGUUAUCCGGAUUCACUGGGUUUAAAGGGUGCGUAGGCGGGCAGGUAAGUCAGUGGUGAAAUCUCCGAGCUUAACUCGGAAACUGCCGUUGAUACUAUUUGUCUUGAAUAUCGUGGAGGUAAGCGGAAUAUGUCAUGUAGCGGUGAAAUGCUUAGAUAUGACAUAGAACACCAAUUGCGAAGGCAGCUUACUACACAAUGAUUGACGCUGAGGCACGAAAGCGUGGGGAUCAAACAGG